rnacentral:lncRNA from 1 species
GCUUGGCCGCACUGCUGAAGGCGCUGUGGCCCCUGUUGUGGUUGUGAUCCAUGAUGUCCUGGGAGGGCAUCGAUGUUGCCGCGGCGCGCUGCAUGCUAUAUGCAUCCGGCUGCGGCUGCUGCUGGUUCUGCUGCUGCUGUGUCAGGCUGAUUGAUACUGGCUGAGACGCAGCCUGCAGCGCACGCAUAAACCUCAGUAAUCAGCAAGGGGGAAUAUGAAUACUUCCUGCGAAUUUUUGGGGUUAAUGCAGUUUUUCAAGGAAGCACGAAUGCACUGUUGAACGCUGGCGCAGCUAUCAGAGCAAGGAAGUCUACAAGGCAGAGGGGCAGGGCUCAGAAAGCGUCGAAUUGGUAGUUCUUCAGAGGGAAACCUAAGAGAUAGAACAAUGUUUUCUCAUCACUGCCCAGGGCCCCCAGCCUACAAGCUCAAUUGUGUAUAGGACACCGCAGAAGAUGGGAACCCACCAAAGAAUCUUCUCUGCUGCUGCUGGCGUGGGAUGACGAGGGGCUGGGCAAGAGGCCCUGCAAAUCCUGCAGUCCCGGCUGCGGCCCAGCCUGGGGUGGCUGUUUCACCUCUGUAU